GACUUGUGCGUGCCGGAUGUGGCGAUCUGCGGUCAAAAGACCGUCGCGAUCCGCCCGUCCUGGCACCGUAAAAUUUGCAACUGGGUCGCCGCUGGCCUUAAUUGAUCGGCGGCGUCUGCUCGGUUGCUCGUUUACUGUGAGAAAAUUGGAGUGUUCAAGGCAGGCAUUAUUGCAACUGAACAUGUUAGCAUGGAAUAAUAAGAUAGGGCUCCGGCUUCAUUUUGUUGGUUUCUAGAGCGUGAGAGUAAUGAUUGAUAGGGACAGUUGGGGGUGCUAGUAUUCAGCGGCCAGAGGUGAAAUUCAUGGAUUCGCUGAAGACUGACUUAUGCGAAAGCAUU
rnacentral:rRNA from 1 species